AGUACUUGACUGAGUGAACUCCAUGCUUGUGUUCCUGUGCAUCCACAAACCAUUUCACUGUGGAUUCUUCUAUGAUCAGUAUCGAUCUUUCUCAGCUCUUCUGCCAGUCUUUUCACUUCUGCAGUGUCUGGCCUCCUUUGCUUCUUCUACAUCCUCUCAGCUGUCUCACUCCACCUGUCUGUGACUCACAUAGUCAUGAGCCUGAGAGCCCAGCUGCACCACCGCUACACACCUGAGAGACAGAGAGAAACACUGUCUCCAAGCACAUGUCUCUUCAACUCAUGCAGAACAGUCAUCACGAGAUCUGUAUUCGCAGGGACACAUCUGCUUUAAAACCUACAUUUUUUAAAACUUUGCAUUCUGAUGAUUAUUUGGGGCUGUGUUGGUCCUAGGGUUUGGUCAUACAGCUGCUUGGAAUUGGGCAGUCUACCCGAGGAGUCAGAGGUCAAAGGUAACAUUAGCCAUUACUGUUGCAUUUGCACAUCGGAGUAUAAACAACAGAUUCACAGAAACAGUUAACCUGAUCGUAACUGAAGCUUUGUGUGCAGGGAGUCGAGUUUAUAUGAUGGAUCUAUCACCAUCUUUCUGCUGCUUUCAACUGUACGUAUGAUGUAUCCUCAUACCAUGUAGCAAUUUACAUGGUGGGGAUUCCCCGCUGAGGCUGUGCGUGGUGUGUUAGCGUGAGCAUGUACGGUAGCCUAUGGGAAAUGAAUAGUGUGUUGGAUUAGCACUGUGUGUCAGCGUGAGCAUGUAGCCUAUGGGAAAUUAAUAGUGUGUUGGAUUAGCACUAAUGCCAUGUUUUGGAAAAUCGAAAAUGUUGCCUUGGGCCUUUCUGGGGUGUCACCAAUUCAUGUGGAAAGUAUGGAGUAUGUGCGUCCAGCUGUGUCAAUUUGCAGAGGUGAACAGACAGACAGACAGCCUUCCUUUAGUAGUAUAGCUAGCUAAUUUAAUCAAUCUACAGAUAAUGCAUUUUCUUUGUACUGAUUUCCUUUUUCCUUCUUCUGCUUAGUUUACAAAGGAAUAAAGCUCAUAGUAAGGUGGUGCAAUGGGUAAUGGGGAGUCACUUAACAGCUCUAGGGUCCCCAGUUUGAGCCUGAAUUCAGUUACUGAUAACCCUUUAUGACCAACAGGGAACGGGUUCCGUUCUUGUUCACGCACCAAAUUUUGAACCAUUCAGAGCAUUUUAACCAAAAAUAAAUUGGUUCGGAACCUGAAAAGUUGGUUUCCUUUGUAUCAUGACUGAAGUGCCCUUGCACAAGGCACCUAACC